GUGAGUCAUCGAAUCUUUGAACGCAUCUUGCGCUCCAUGGUAUUCCGUGGAGCAUGCCUGUUUGAGUGUCACGUUAAACCUCACUCUCUGCGACGUCAAAAUCGCGGACGGUGGACUUGGACCGUGCCGUAACCGGCUCGUCCCGAAAUGCAUUAGCUUGCGCUUUUAGAGUGCUAGGCAUCGGUGUGAUAAUUAUCUGCGCCAACGCCUCAGGCCUCUUCAGCGGUGCUGCUUCCAGUCGUCUACGUGGACAACUUUUAAAGCUUUGGCCUCAAAUCAGGUAGGACUACCCGCUGAACUUAA
rnacentral:rRNA from 1 species